AAAAUUGAGAAAAAUGUUGUGCCAGCAUUUGCGGUUAUACCUCAUCAGUAAAUAAUUUGAUUUUAAAAUUGAAGUUUAUAAAUUUUUAUAAUAUUAAAUUAAUUUUUAUAUUAUUUUUAUUAUUAGUAAAUUGAUUAAUUAGGGUGAAAUCUUGUUAAUUAUUAUAUUUUUUUUUCUUUAAAAUUUGGAGUAUAAACUAGGAUUAGAUACCCUAUUAUUCUAAUUAUAAAUAAAAUUUUAGGGUUUUUAUUAGUAAAUUUAAAAUUUUAAAAUAAAAUUUAUUUGGCGGUUUAUUAAUCAUUUCAGAGGAACCUGUUUUUUAAAUGAUAAUCCACGAUAAAUUUCACUAUUUUUAUUAAAAAAUUUCUUGUAUAUCUCUGUCGUUGAAUGUAGUGAAAGCUAAAAAAUUUUCUUUAAUUUUUAAAAUUUUAUGUUAGGUCAAGGUGCAGUUGUAAAAUAGAUUUUAAUGGGUUACAUUUAUUUUAUAUUUGUGGAUUUUAAGAAUUGUUUUUUAUCUUGAAAAUGGAUUUGAAAGUAAAUUAAAUUUAAUAAGUUUAUUUAUUAUAUUAUAUAUAUUAUAUUAUAUUAUUAUAAUUUAUAAUUUAUAAAUUAUUUUAUUAAGGGUUUUGAAUUAUGUUCUGAUUUAUGUACAUAUCGCCCGUCAUUCUUGCAAAGUAAGACAAGUCGUAACAAAGUAAGUGUAUCGGAAGAUGUAUUUAGAUGGGA
rnacentral:rRNA from 1 species